AUGGCGUGGCCCUGGACUGGAAGCAGCUGCUGGGCAGGUGAUGGACGGGGCUUGGGCAGCGCCUGGGGCAGCGGCGCGUGGAGGAGCUGUCCCCACACUGUCACCUGGGCUUGUCCCCAACUGUCACUUGGGUCUGUCCCCACACUGUCACCUGGGUCUAUCCCCACACUGUCACCUGGGCUUGUCCCCUCUCCUGUCCCCAGCUGUCACCUGGUUCUGUCCUCACACUGUCACCUGGGUCUGUCCCCUCUCCUGUCCCCACACUGUCACCUGGGCUUGUCCCCAACUGUCACUUGGGCCUGUCCCCUUUCCUGUCCCCACACUGUCACCUGGGCUUGUCCCCAACUGUCACUUGGGCCUGUCCCCUUUCCUGUCCCCACACUGUCACCUGGGCUUGUCCCCAUCUGUCACCUGGGCUUGUCCCCAUCUGUCACCUGGGCCUGUCCCCUCUCCUGUCCCCAGCUGUCACUUGGCCCUGUCCCCACACUGUCACCUGGGCUUGUCCCCAUCUGUCACUUGGGCCUGUCUCCUCUCCUGUCCCCACACUGUCACCUGGGCCUGUCCCCACACUGUCACCUGGGCUUGUCCCCAACUGUCACUUGUCCCCUCUCCUGUCCCCAGCUGUCACCUGUCCCUGUCCCCACACUGUCACCUGGGUCUGUCCCCACACUGUCACCUGGGCCUGUCCCCUCUCCUGUCCCCAUCUGUCACCUGGCUCUGUCCCCCACACUGUCACCUGGGCUUGUCCCCUCUCCUGUCCCCACACAGCCACUUGAGCCUGUCCUCUCACCUGUCCCCAUGCUGUCACCUGUCCCCUCUCCUGUCCCCUCACCUGUCACCUGUCCCUGUCCCCUCACCUGUCCCUGUCCAUGUCCCCAUCCCCUGAAGUGUCCCCGUUCCUGUGGCCACCAUAACCCUCCCUGGGAUCUCCUGCCCCACACCCCCAAACCUGCCCCACACCCCCAAACCUGCCCCACACCCCGGGACCGGUACCGGGAGGGGCGUGUCCGGUACCGGGAGGGGCGUGUCCGGUACCGGGAGGGGCGGGGCCUGUACCGAGAGGGGCGUGUCCGGUAUCGCAGGAGGCGUGUCCG
rnacentral:lncRNA from 1 species